GCCGUCGUUUCUGAGGGCAAGCCGUUCUACGGGAUGCGUUAGAGGGCGGGAGGAAAUUUCUACACCUCCAAUGACUCUGCAACUUUUCACAGUGAGAGAACAGCCAGCAGCAGGUGGCUUUAGAAGAAGCCUAUUCCCAGAAGCAACGUGUCCCAUGAUGCCAGACUCUGCAGUAAACGGCCAAAUAGAGAGAAGUACACAUAUUUUCCCUUUGGUGACAGGCGAAAAGAACAAACCGCAAAGAGCAGGGAUUGAGCAGAGGACUCACCAGCUCUCUGCAGGGCGCCUGCAUCUCAGACACGUGGUUUGUAGUGAGGCUGCGCUCAACAUGCUGUCUAUCCGGAGAACUGACUGAGAGAUUCACUGUCCUCACAUGACUUUCAUUACACCAGAGAAGGCUUCAUCAUCGAGAUUCAGCUCUCGCUGUCUGACUCCACCACUUAUUCCUCUCAACACUUUGUCCUCCGCUCCCCGUGUGAUGUUUUGAAUUAAGGACUUCCUGCCAUGGCAUUUAAUGUAGCACUCUGCCGGUUAUUUUUGUACGUUUCAAUAUGUUUGUAACAUUGGAUAGGUUUGUUUUUUUGUUUUUUUGUUGUUUUUUUCCAUUUGCAAUGCGAAUGUGGAAAAGUAUUCACACCCCUUUGAUAUUUCUACUUUGUCACGUAGCAACCACAAAGUUAUGUUUUUCAGGAUUUCAUGUCAUAGAACAAAACAAAGUAGUCUACAGCUGUGGGAGGAAAAUUGAGUCAACACCUCACAGCACAAUGCUGCCACUACCAUGUUUUACAGUGCACAGUGUUGGCGUCCCACAACACACACUCUUCACAAACGUCACUCUUUGAGUUUUUGCCUUAUUUUAUCAACAAACAUUCUUUCACACACACACACAAAAAUCCUACAGCAUAAUGCUGCCACCACCAUGCCUCACAUGUGCCACUGUGGGGAUAGCGUGUGAGGAUAAAUAUCUACAUUUCUGCCACACACAAAGUGAGAAGUUAAAACUUGAUCUCAUCCAACAAGAAAACUUGUCCAAAUAGGACUUUUAAUGGCUUCUUUCGACUAUUAAGACAUUCUUCUUGCCACUUUUUCAUUAAUUUUGUCUUGUUGUGCUCCUUACCCAAUUUGUCAACUUUGACUCUGAUAUACAUUAUAUUAAAUUAAUGCCAAAGGGGGUCAAAUGACACUUAAAGCCAAUGUUGGGGUUUCAAAAUAAGCAAAUGUAUACCACAACUGCAUGCAGCUUGUGUAAAUAGUUUUAUGUGAUACUGUUGCCAAACCAAAAAGUGGGAUUUCUUUUUUUUUUUUUUAAAGAGAUGUUUUUUAAAAUUUGAGGCAAAAAUGAGCACAGCAGCUGAGACAGGGACACACUGGCCUAAGAUGGGAACAAACGCUCAUCACGAGUCGUCUGCUCUUUGUACGGCAUUGGGAACCGGAAGAAAGAGCAAAAUAACAGGAAAGCGACAAAAGAGCCAUAAUGGUGUCUCAUAAAUCUUUUCACAUUUACUGUAAAGCAACAGCCUGGCGCGAGUGGGAACUGCUUUGCCGACAAGAGCGUCCAUUGAGCGAAGAGAAACGGGGACAUUGUGGGCAGGGACCUAAAGGUCACCAUGGCUGUGAGUCCGAACGCUUUGCCCCGGACUCCCGCUGAGUCACCGCUGCCUUUCGUCGACAGACGACGACCAGGACUAAUUUGAGUUUGUCCGAACUUGAACAUUAGUCAAAUAUUAGUCACAGCAUUCCAACUGGAGGAAGAACAUGAAGAGAGAUUCUGUUGUCCGGACACAGUCUGGGGCCGAAACGUGGAUUUCUCAAUCGUAGUGUGAUGUGACAUGACUGUGUUUCAUCUCCUCUGCUGUGUUGGCUGGUUGGCCUAGGACUCCCACGGCAAUCCUGACUAGUUUCCCCUGAGCUAAUAU